UGAUCUCAGAUCAGAUAGAAGUACUCACUGAACUUAAGCAUAUUAAUAAACAGAGAAAAAGAAAUCAACAGAGAUUGCCUCAGUAACAGUAAGUAAAGCAGCAAAAACUCAAAUUUGAAAUCUGACUCCAUGCAGAGCUCAAGUUGUAAUUUAGAGAGAAUACUUCAGAUGCAGUUACAGUAUAAGUUUCUUGAAACAGAAUAUUAUAGAGGGUGAGAAUCCUGUCUUUAGCUACUAGACUGUGCUCAUACAAAGUUCCUUCAACAAGUCAAGUUGUUUGAGAAUGCAGCUCUAAGUGGGUGGUAAAUUUCAUCUAAAACUAAAUAUUGGCUGGAGAUCAAUAAUGCACAAGUAGAGUGAUUGAAAGAUUAAAAGCAUCUUGAAAAGAGAGUUAAAUAGCAUGUGAAAUUAUUAAAAGAGAAGUGCUUGCAAUCAGACUUAGUUAUAGAGACUUAGUGGGCAUGUGUGCCUGUGUACUUUCCCAUGCUCUGAGCCAGCAUCAGUUCUGGCAGUUAGUUAAAGAUCUCUGGAAUGUAUUGUUCUCUGAGAUAUCUUAUAGUCAGGGGUGCAAUGUGGCCAGCCAGAACUAAGAAACAUGCUUUGAUAUAGAUACUGAUAUAAUAAUUGUAAGCAGUCUGUCUUGAAAUAUGAAUCAAGAAGUCUAACAUUCAUAUGAGUGUUCAGAUAUCAAACCCAUGCAUGCAGUGAAAGUAAAUAAAGAUAGAAGUCUGCAAGAAUGCACUAUUGACUGAUCCUGAAGUCUUUAAAUAAAUUUGAGUAAGAGUGUGGCUGUUGGAAUCUGAAAGAUAAUAAACUAUAUCUGAAUAGAGUGAAGUCAGAGAAAACUCUAGUGAAGACUUACAGUAAUUCUGAUGUGUAAAUCAAUCAUCAAAUUUAAGUAUAGAGAUGAAAGGCUAAUUAAAUCAUCUGAUAGCUGGUUUCUGCUGAAGUUUUCCUCAGAAUAGCAGUAACAUUUUCAGUUUUAUAAGAUAAAGUAAAUGAUUAGAGGCCUUGAGAUUAAAACAACCUUAACCUACUCUCAAACUUUAAAUAUGUAAGAAGCUCUUGUUACUUAAGUGAACAUGGGCAUUAGAAUGAAUUAUUACUAGUGGGCCAUUUUUGGUAAGCAGAACUGGUGAUGUGAGAUGAACUGAAUAUAAGAUUAAGAUGCUGGAAUGCACACUCAUCAGACACUACAAAAGAUGUUAGUUCAUCUAGACAGCCUGAUGGUGGCCAUGGAAGUUGGAAUCUGCUAAGAAGUUGUAACAACUCAUAAGCUGAAUGAACUAGCUCUGAAAAUGAAUGGCACUCAAGUAUACUAUUCAUAUCUCAUCAUCAGGGUAGAAACAAAGUCCUGAUAAGUAGACAGAUGUGGAGGUUUAUAAUGAAGUCUUGAGAAUGAUUCUGAAUCAAACAGUCUCUAGUGCAGAUCUUAGUAAUAGUAGCAAAUACUCAAAUGAGAACUUUAAGAACUGAAGUGGGGAAAGGUUCUAUAUAAACAGCAGUUAGAUAUAGAUUAGUUGAUUCUAAGAUAUAGAAUAGUUCCAUUUGAAAGUACACUCUAGUGCACUAUUUGUCAAAAGAGAAGCUAGUUAAUAUACCAGCAUCUGGAUGUGGAUUCUCCACAGUAACAUAACUGAACACAGAGAUAUCAGCAGAAGUUCUGAAAAGAGUUCUCUUUUCUUCUUGACAGCCUAUCACUCUGAAAUCAGUUUGUCCAGAGCUAGAAUUUCAUGGCCAGCAGAGCUCUGUAUCUUUAUAAGAUCCAGUGCACUCCUGACAACUCUUGAAAAUUCACAGGAAGAAAUAGUUUUCAUGCCAGAUUAUACUUAUAACUACAGCAGAUCUCCAAGAUGAAAAGUCUCUAGUUAAUAAAACAAUAUAGAUAAGAAAAGUCAGUAAAAUAGAUUCAUAACUUCAGAAAAAGAAUUGGCUCUAAGAGUCAGAUGUGUUGAACCUUAGAAGAAAGUCUCCAGAGCAGAAGAGCACUAGCCAGACAACCAGCAGAUAUCUUCUAGCAUCAGAAUACAGAUACUCUUGACAGACUUCAGCUAUCCAGCACACAAUUAACAACCAACUUAGAACUGGUACAGACAAGAGAAAUCUGACUGUCUAAUUAAAAUAUAGCAUUGCAAUGACCAGAAAGUGAUGUUGACAUAAUGUGAUUUCUGCUCAGUAUUCUGAAUAUCAAAGUGAAGAAAUUCAACCAAGCACAGAUAAACAGUGGAAGUAACUAUAACUCUCUUAAGAUAGCCAAAUACCUCAUCAUUUAAUUAGUGAUGUGCAUGAAUGAAUUAAUAAGAUUCCCACUGUCCCUAUCUACUAUCUAGCAAAACCACAGCCAAGGAAACAAGCUUGACAAAAUCAGCAGAAAAAGAAGACCCUGUUAAGCUUAACUCUAGUUUGAUAUUAUGAAAAGAUAUAUCAGAUGUAGAAUAGGUGGGAGCUUCAGCAUCAGUGAAAUAUCACUAUCUUUAUUGGCUUUUUUACUUAUUUAAUGAAGCAGAACUGAGCUUUACUACCCAACUUCUAGUAUUAAGAUUCUUUACAGACUGAUUCAGAUUGAAGACAUUAUCAGAUAGAGAGUUUGGCUGGGACAGCACAUCUAUUAAACUAUAACACAGGUGUUCUAAAAAGAACUUAUAGAGAACAGAAAUCUUCAGUAGAACAAAAGAAUAAAAGUUCUCUUGAUUUUGAUUUUCAGUAUGAAUAUAAAUUAUAAAAGUGUAGCUUAUUAAUUCUUUAGUCUCUCAAAAUUUGAGACUAGAAGUGCCAGAAAAGUUACUACAGGAAUAACUGGCUUGUGGCAGUCAAGCAUUUAUAGCAACAUUACUUUUUGAUUCUUCAAUGUCAGCUCUUCCUAUUAUACUAAAGCAGAAUUUGGUAAGCAUUGGAUUAUUCACCCACUAAUAGGGAACAUGAGCUGGGUUUAGACUAUCAUGAGACAGAUUAGUUUUACCCUACUGAUGAAGAUCACCACAAUAGUAAUUUAAUUUAGUACAAGAAAAACUGUUGAUUCAGAUAAUUGAUUUUUGCAGCUGUCUGACCAGACAGUGCCACAAAGCUACCAUCUGCCAGAUUAUGGCUGAAUGUCUCUAAGUCAGAAUCCAUACUAGAACACAGCAAUAUUGCUCUGUAUAUUAUAGUUGGAUAUAAAUAAGUCUACAGACCCUGAAUCUCAGCAGAUCAGCAACAGCUUCUGGAAAGAGACUCUCAGGUGCCAGCUGACAGAUUGCAAUGUCACCACACACAGAGAUAGAUUCUCUGCAGACAACUGAAAUAAUCAAGCAGAUUAUGUAAGCAGUCAAGUAACUUAGUUAUUACAAGUCACUAAACAUCAGCUCAAUUCUUGGCUUGAUUUGU
rnacentral:ncRNA from 14 species